AUUGAACGCUGGCGGCAGGCCUAACACAUGCAAGUCGAACGGUAACAGGAAGAAGCUUGCUUCUUUGCUGACGAGUGGCGGACGGGUGAGUAAUGUCUGGGAAACUGCCUGAUGGAGGGGGAUAACUACUGGAAACGGUAGCUAAUACCGCAUAACGUCGCAAGACCAAAGAGGGGGACCUUCGGGCCUCUUGCCAUCGGAUGUGCCCAGAUGGGAUUAGCUAGUAGGUGGGGUAACGGCUCACCUAGGCGACGAUCCCUAGCUGGUCUGAGAGGAUGACCAGCCACACUGGAACUGAGACACGGUCCAGACUCCUACGGGAGGCAGCAGUGGGGAAUAUUGCACAAUGGGCGCAAGCCUGAUGCAGCCAUGCCGCGUGUAUGAAGAAGGCCUUCGGGUUGUAAAGUACUUUCAGCGGGGAGGAAGGGAGUAAAGUUAAUACCUUUGCUCAUUGACGUUACCCGCAGAAGAAACACCGGCGAACUCCGU
rnacentral:rRNA from 1 species